AUGCAGCGUGCAGUGCGCAGUGCAGGACGUCUCGACCCGAGCUGCCUCUGCAGUGACUCUGGUGGUGUGGAUGAUACUGGCUGCACUGUUGGAGCUUGGACUCGGAGAGGAACACGUGAGCACAAUCCUGAUGAUGAGCCUUCAAUUGACUAAGAUGACAAACGGUGCCUGUGCAUUUCUUGAGGCGGAGGAACUUUACCAUGCAGCAGCCUGAGAGCUAGGUUGGGGGGCGCCUGGUAUUUGCAUAUCUGGGGUGGCUAAUGGGAGCUGGGAGCCAGAGCAGCUUGGUGCCUGCUGGCUGAAUAUACUUGGUGCCACUGUGAGGGUGGUUGAGGCUGGGUCACGUUCAGGGUGCUUGUGGCUGGGUCACCAGGCUAAUAGAAGAGGCAGGAUUAUUUUGUAGUGUGAGUGCGUGCACCCGGCAGGACAGUUUCCUUCAGUUUGUCUGUCUUGUGGUGUUGCUUCUGCAGUGUCUGUUCUGUGCUUCUCGGGUCUUGAUAUCCUCCUGGCUUUUUAGAUUGGACUGACUAGACAGGCGACUUGGUAGCGGUGCUGAAGGGCCUCAAUGCUUGUUUUGUCAUCAUGAUUCUGAUUCGAGCACUUCUCGUCUUGCAGUCGCUGCUUGAACUGCAGAUCUGUUUCAGGUCUUGUGCAUCAUAUUCGGUUCGAGAUCGCGUCUGUUUCCAUCCUCACUCUUGCAGAAGUCAUCUGGGCCGCAUCAGGAGCUCUUG